AUACGUAGGGAGCGAGCGUUGUCCGGAAUUACUGGGUGUAAAGGGAGCGUAGGCGGGAGUGCAAGUCAGAUGUGAAAUACAUGGGCUCAACCCAUGGGCUGCAUUUGAAACUGCAUUUCUUGAGUGAAGUAGAGGUAAGCGGAAUUCCUGGUGUAGCGGUGAAAUGCGUAGAUAUCAGGAGGAACACCGGUGGCGAAGGCGGCUUACUGGGCUUUUACUGACGCUGAGGCUCGAAAGCGUGGGGAGCAAACAGGAUUAGAUACCCUGGUAGUCCACGCUGUAAACGAUGAUUACUAGGUGUGGGGGGACUGACCCCUUCCGUGCCGCAGUUAACACAAUAAGUAAUCCACCUGGGGAGUACGGCCGCAAGGUUGAAACUCAAAUGAAUUGGCAGGG
rnacentral:rRNA from 1 species